UUAUUUUUAAUAUUAUGUUGUAUUUGAUGUGCUAUCCUAUUCAUUUAGUAUAAGCACAUUUUUCUUUAUGUCUUCAGCAUAAUUAUAUGCUUUUUCAGAAUUUUAACAUCAGGACUGCUUCCAGGGUAGCUUUAUUGCCCUUUGUCUUAAGUAUGGAUUAUAGUUUUCAUUCUUUGUAUGUUAAGUAAUUUUGGAUUGUAACUUGAACUUUGAAUAUACUGUAGAAACUCUGAAUUCUAUUUUAUUCUUCUAAAACAAUAUUUCUCAGCUUCAGCACUACUGACAUUUUGAACUGGGUCAUUUUGUUUGUGUUGUUGUGUGUAUUUUGGGAGGGUACUGUUCUAUAUGCAUUGUGGGGUACUGAGUAUUAACCUUUGUCUCCACUCACUACUUACCAGUAGCAUAACUCUCUCUCCUCCCUGCAUCCCCUGCCAAAAAAUGCCUUCAAUCCUUUCUAAGCGCUCUUUUUUAUGGUGUUGGGGCCAAAAUCAUGCAUCUUUACUCACUCUUUCUCAUUGAGAGCUAUGGCUAUAAAGGGUAGUGAUACUUUUACUUAUUUAUUUUUAAGGCAAGCAGUUAACUUAGCUGGAUUCAAACUCCAGGAUGCCUCGUGUGCUGUGGGAAGCAGCCUACACUCUAUUCAGUUCUUUUCUUUUCAUAUUGGUUGGGUUACUUUGAGUCUGGCCUACAUGAUGGGCAGUUUAGAGGUCAACCAAAGGAUUUCAGCAGAACUUAUACACAGAAUUUCAUUCAGGCUUCCCGUGUCUGAUUGGCCACAGUGUGGGAAUUUCCUCCCACUUUUCAGUCACUACUGAGGAUGCCUUUCGGCAAAAUUCCUUGAAAUUGGAAACUUACAGGGAAAUUCCUUUCCUCCAAGAGUGCACUCUCCUCCAGUGUUGGCUUGCUUUUGGUUGUUCUCCGUGGUUUUAGAUAGCUGUCUUUAUAUUAAUUCUGGAGUUUACAGUUGAUAUCUGUUGGGGGCUUAGUUUGAUAACACAUAUUCCUCUAUUACUAGUAGCCAGACCUGUAUGUCUUACUUGACCUGAUGGAGAAAAGUUUCAACUUAUGAGACAAUACUGUGCUAGCUAGUUUUACUGAUUUGUACUCUAAAGUACCCAAGCCUAAAAUAGUAGAGCUGUCUAUCCCACAUGAAACUUCUCUGAUUUUCACUGUUUUUUAUAAAAAGUAUACAUGUUCAGAUUUCUGUAGGUUUUUUUAAGCAUCACAAUUUUUAUAAACUUUCUAUAUUUCCAAGGUCUACCUGCUUUGUAUUUUGCCUAGUGAGAGUUUUGUAUUCAUGUAGGAAUAAUCUCUUGGUGUGAGUAUCUAUUUUCCACUCAUCCAAAACAGAUAGAGCAUUGAUUUCACUAAGCGUUAUGUUCUAGUUUGCUUUGGUAUUAUUAUUAGAAAUACCUGGUGAUUAAUUUGAGCUAAGUAGUAUUCUCUACCCUCAUUCCCAGCAUUAUCACCCGCUUUUACCACUUCCAAGGGGUGGAAGCAUUCUCCACAAUGCAUUUUUUCAUGCCAGAGAAAAAUCUAGAAAAAAAUGAAUAAAACGAAGAAAUUCUUUCCCCUUGGUAUCUGUAGCUAACUUGCCUAAGUGUUCUUUCCCACAGUUUAAGUCUUCAGUCCAUAGUUCAUAAGCAAAGGGGUGUAGCGAGCUCUGAUCUUGCCAGAAGAGAGAAUAAGUGAGCUACCCCAUGGUGGACAUUCUGGCCAUCUGAAAUGAGUCGAUGCAUGUGGCUUUUGUCUAAAGGCUACAAAUAAAAUGUAACCACUUUCUUCUUUGAGUAGUUGAUAUAGCAAAUAGUUGAAACAGAAGUUUUGAUUGGCAAAUCAGGAUGUGGUAGAUACUUUAACAAAGAGUAGAACUAUUACCAGUUUUAUGUGUUGCUGUUUGUAUCUCUUUCACAGUUUUGAUAAUAUCACAUCCUGGAAAGUGAAACAGAAAAUUAUUAUUCCAUUUUAAAUGACUCAAUUUGCUUUCAUGGUAUUUACAGUGAAAGGGUAAAUUAGAAAGUGAAUGGAUGACUGUUCAUGAGAGAAAGCAGGGUAAAAAGAUUUUAUUUAAUUAAUUGAAAAUAUUAGGGUCAAAACAUAGGCUUAUGUUAUGUUUUGUGAAUUGUGCUCUGUUGUAGACAUUUGAUGAGUCCUAACAUAGAAUUGAUCUAGCUCUUGAAAUACCAUUUUUGAUUGAGUAUAAAUGGGAUAUAGGCACCUUACAACUUCAGAAUUCGAGGAAGAUGAUGUGAAUCUUCCAAUUUUAUCUAUUUGAUUCAAAUGGUAUGUUUUUUCACAUUUCUCAUAAUUUCCACGUCAACUCCCAUGAUGAUCAUGCAGGAAAGCAGCAUGAUUGCACUUCUUUGUAGUGCAUACCAUCACUAAAACAUAGUUACUGUCUUUCUAUGGUCUUAAGAAAAAUUCAGAAACAGCAUACCAAUGUAGAUAUAAAUAAGCUUAUGUGGUACAGUAAGUGUUCUGUUCUGAGAAAUACCUUGAUUCGUAUCCUAAUGUCUGAUGUUAUUGGUAGUUCUCAAACUUCCCCAAUUCUGCUUUCAUCUAAAUUCAUCUUAUCUAUCUAUUGUUAAUCUAUCAGUCCAUUUUUAUCUAUCAUCUAUAUAUCUGUCUUUAUCAAUCAUUCGUCUGUAAUCUAUCUGUGCCAUUUGGCAUAAGAGACAGAAGGGCAUAGCAGUGGAAACUCAAAGGAGUUACCUCCAUGUGAAUGGACAGUGGUGAUGGUGAUCUGUAAGGUGGUGAUGUAUAGAAAGAAAAACUAGAAGAGAGCAUGCCCUAACUCAGGGACCUUGUCCAGCAGGCACUCUGGCCUUGUUAUACUGUGCUUGAAUAUGAAAACAAAAAAAUCAAAAUAGUGCUGACAUUCUUUGUCUUCUGGGUCUGAGAAAACUUAGAGUAGAUAUGAUGACUCUGCCAUUUCAGUCUUUUGUAUUUCCACAUUUAGAGCUCAGUUUUAAUUAUGUAGAAUUAUUUCUCCAGCCUGUGUUAAACUAGACCAUGGAUUGGCAAACUUUUUUUGUAAAUUGCCAAAUACACAUUUUCAGUUCUGAAAGCCUUGUGGUCUUUGUUGCAGCUAAUCUACUCUGCUGUUGUGUUACGAAAGCAGCCAUAGGUAAUUUAUAAUUGAAUGAGUGCGCUGUGCCUUUCUUCCAAUAAAACUUUACAAAAGCAUCCUGUGGGCUGGAGUUUACCCUUUGGGAAACCAGAGCAUUGGCUAAACUGGAACCUGAAAAAAUAAUCACAUCAACUCAGCCACAUGGUAAUAAUAUUUAGAGUAUUAUUUCAACAUUUUCAUUUUCAUAAAAAUUUUUUUAGCUCUUUUGCCAAAUUCCAUUUGUGAGUGAUACAAAUGACUACCAUGUGCCAUUAACAUCACCUAAACAGUGCAAAACAAGCAUAGUAGAAGUAAUUGGAAUGAUAUAAACCCCUUGCUGUAAUAGUUAUAGUUGAUAAAUUAUGUUUCAAAAUUGAACCUAUUUCUUCCAAAUUUCAUCUAUAAAGUUCCAAGGAAUUCCAAAAUCUUGCCUGCCUUCUUUUCCCAGUUAGCAGUAUUGUCUGUGAGCAGCCAUGGUGGUAUCCAUCCUCCUCGGACAAUGAAUUUAGCCUAUUUUGACUUCAUUUGAGCAGUUGUAAUUGUUUCACCACAUCAGAGUAAGAUUACUACAUACCAGAGCUAUUCUUUAACUCAGCUUGUAAAAACAUGAUAGCAUCAACAAUACACAUAGCAAAUGAAUGCCAUCUUUAAUCCAAUUAAAUGGUUUUUACAAAUUUGCUCUUGUUUGUUGAUGCUAUCUGCAUUGCAGUAAUUAAAGGUGAGGUAAAAAGAAUGAAUAAACUGCCAAGUUAAAAUUAAAUUUGGACAAUUUCUCUUUUGCAGUAAUGUAUGUAUAUUUACUCAAAACAUAUGCCAAAUUUAGUGUUGAAAGGCUCAUUCAAAUCAAUUGGGAAAGCACGUAAAUGAACAAUUCAUAAAAGAAAAGCAUUGCAAAUGGCCAAGAGCAUAGAAAAUGUGCUCAAUCUUACCAGUCAUUAUAAGGAAAUAAUGAAAUUUGUGUAUAUAUGAAAUACUUAAAAUAUAUAUAAAAUAAAACAAUUAUUUGCCUUUUUUCACCUAUCAGAUUAACAGAUUAUAUGUGUUAACAAGGUGGGGAGAAUUUGCAACUCCUGAUAUGUUAAAAUCUUUCAGGAAGGUAGUAGAAAAUAUAUGUAAGAUGGAAAUUAGCACUUUUGACCAACAAUUUUAGUUUUAGAUAUUUACCUAUAAGGAUAUAAUAGGAGGUGUUCAAAGAUGCAUGUAACUCAAUGUAGUAUUAAUUAUAAUUGUAAAAUAGUAAAUAACAUUUUUGUCAAAUCAUAAUGUUAGGAAAAUUAGUGAUGGCACAUUUAACCAAUUGAAUUAUAUUCAGUUAUGAAUACCGUGAUGCAUGUUCAAAUUAAUUGAUACAAAAAUCCAACAACUUUAGCAGUUUGUUUACCAGUUAUUGAGUACCAACUGUGUUCAACAUUGUUAUUUCACUCAUAUGAAAUGAUAAAUGUAUGUGCUUGUUAUGAUACGGUCAAUAAAACCACUUUUAUAGGAAGAAUACUCACAAAA
rnacentral:lncRNA from 1 species